CAUAGCAGGGGGUUGAAACUCAAUGAUCACUGUGGCCCUUUUCAACCCAGGCCAUUCUAUGAAGAAAAGGCUUUCAGUUAGAAGACCAUUAAAAAUCUGUAUGAAAUGCUAUUUGUGUGUUAAAAUGGAAAGCUUCAAAUACACUGAAAGGCAUCUGGCUUGUUCUUUGCGUGGUUGUGGAUGGUACCACCCAUCUUGUCUGGCUCAGGCACACACUGGCUGUGCCUGACAGCAAGAGCAGUCUUGUGGCAACUUCUAAUUCAGAGGGCUUUCAGCCAUCCGAGCUACAAGUGCUACUUGAUAUUGCAGGAAAGACUGAACAAUUUAUGCAUAGCUCUGGGAUUUGCUUACUUUGCCAGGAGUGUGCAGUGCAGACAGUAAGGCUGGAAUGGAGGCUGUGGAUCCAUUGACAACCCAGGGCAAGACUGCAUCCCCAUCACAGCUAAUAGAGUGAUAAGGUGACUGUUACAGACUGUAGCUGAUCCAUUGGUUCCAGAUACACUCAACAAUUACUAACUAGACAUGCUGAUUUGCAAUAAAUCACUCAAACUAAAGGAUGUUUCUACACUCCACUCAUAGUUCCAAGCGAGUAUUAUUUUCUAGUUAGCUUCUCCACUACUGAGUAUUUGACUUUUUUUUUCUUUUAUUUUUCUGUAGUUCUGUGAUUGUUCUACAACAAUACUGCAUUAACUUGAAAUGGUUUAAAAUCUGUCAGGCCAAGAUCUGAAUAACCACAUGUACCAAGGCAAAAAUAUUGUGGUGAAGCCCAAACCAGGGAUGAAGACUGUGCAAGAUGUGAAGAAAUGAAAUUAAGGGAAGAAAUCAAGAUGACUGACAGGAACAUUGGUAAUAUAUACAAAGGAACUGUUGCCUGAACGGGAAUCAUCAACGUCCUUUAGAGGAAGGAGAGAUGAGGGUGGCAACAGACAGUGAAAUUGAAGCCUACAGUGGGAAGAGCCGCUGCCCUCUUUAGUGACUGAUGAUGCUCCAAAAGCAAAAAGUGAGAUUCAAGUGAUGUUCAAUUGCUGUCAUGUUUUACACUAGGAGCAGCUUAUGGAUGCCUCUUGCUCUGCUUCUUGCUGGUCUCUGCCUGGCCUGCGCUCACUCAUCAUAGGCAACUCUUUUGGUUCUGCUGGGGAACCUGGAUGCACAGCUGAUUCCCAACUGGAGCCAGGGCAGCAUGCCCUUGCAGAGCUGCUCCAGUGAAACAUCCAGCUGUGUCUAGCUGCAUUCUCCCACUGUCAUAACAUGAAAACCUGACACUACUUCUGUCCCCCACCCACCCCUCUGCCCCUUUUUAUUUUUUUUGGCCUGUAUUACAGAUGGUUGCUCAGUCAGGCACAGAUUUAGCCAGGACAUUAUUUGCUUCUAUUAGUACCAGCCAUUGCCACAUUCCUGUGCAUAUCAGGUUAUGCGGACAAGUCAUAAUGCCAUGCAGCCUCUUGUUUACAUCAGGUGUUAAUCUGCCUCAGCUCUAUAAGUAAGCCGUAGGAACUCUGGUACUCAGGCUUUCAGUCCUUUUUUUUCCCUUUUUUUACUUUUUCCUCCCCUCCCCCCCAUUAUCUACUACACUCAGUUCAGUAUCUUCUGAAUAUCACUGGUUGAAAAUAUUUCAGUUCUUGCAUUUUAGAUGUCAUGUUGUUAAUUUGGUACAAUACCCAGAAAAGCAUACUGAGCAAACUGCUCUGUGUGCAUGGUUAUUUUAAAUGAAAGUAAUGUGGCACUGCUAGCACAAGUGGUGAUUUCACCCUCCUUCACUCCCUGCACUCCAGCAACCUCUGCCUGAUGUGAGCAAAAGGCACUUGUGUGGUCACGCUGGAAGGGGGAACUGGUUUCUGAGCUGAGUGCUUUAGUUGGUUUUCAGCUGGAUCAGUUUUCCAGCCUGAUCCUCCACAAACAGCAGAGAAGUGAUGGUGUGGGCAAAGGAUUGUGCCCAGGUGCAGGAAAGUCUGUCUUUCUUUUUAUGGAGAAGAAACUUACGUUGGCAUAAAGAGUUGUGAUCCUGCAAGGGUGUACCCCUCUGAUGGUCAUUAACAAGUUAACCAUGCAUUGCAAACAUUGCAUACACCAUGACGACUUAUUGUAGUAUCUAACAAUAUAUAUUGACCCUUUACCUAAUUACAGCAACAGAACUGUAAGUUUGGAAAGGCAGUAAUUGAAAUAGGCCAUGGUAAACAUUGUUAACUAUUUUAUGAAUUUCCUAUUCAAAUGUUGGCACUCUGCAUUUUAAUAAUCAGGUCGGGCUGAUCAACAACAGUGUUUUAUUUCUUUUUUUUUGUUGUUGUUGUUGAGUUUUUUUAAAACCCCAAUUUUGAUAUAAUUCAUUAUUCACUUGAGAUGACAUUAGAAUAAAUUAAUAUUAAAAUAUUUAAAUGUAGAAUAAAGAGUUUGAAAAGUUACAGAGAUUGAUCACUCGAGAUGCAACGUUGAUGCUUCAUUAGUCAUGGAUCUCCAUGUUGCUGGGCUGAGUACCCGUUUUGCCUCAUUAGCAUUUUUUUCUUUAAUGCUGACUGGACUGUAUUCAGGCUUCAUUGUAUACGAUUUAAUAAUGGCUCCUGUCAACAGCCUAAGUUGCACGUGAAAACUGGAAUACCCUUCACUGCAAACCAUAGCAAUCUAGGCUUCCUAGCAAGGUGAUUGAUGCCCUGAAACUGUCAGCAUUUAAAAGCUUUUAAUAAUAUGCUUUACCUUUUGGUUAGCCCCGAAGUGGUCAGUUAGUUGGACUUUAUUUUUCUUGGUUCUUUCCAACAGGAUCUAUUCUAUUCUGGAACUUUAUAAAAAUAGCCAUAAAAUCUUUGUAUGGCUUGAUUUUUUUCUCCUUGCGAAAAGUUUACCUUUCCAGUAGAUUAUAAAGUGUGUUGCUGAUGUUGCUCAUUCCAAAAGAAAUUCCAAAUCUGAUUUUGUAAUCAGAUUAAGAUUUGGGAACAGGGACACAGAUGGAGUGAGAGAAGAACAGUUUUUUGUGCAAGAUGUGACUUGAAGAGCAAUGGCAUUUAUACUAAAAAGGCCAGAUCUUUUAGCAUUUUCCAGUGUUGACUUUGGCCCACAUGCAGAAAGAGGAGGUUUCUAAGCCCCCUUAAGAUCUUGGCCAAUCCCGAACAAAUAAAUGUCUGCACUGCUAGUUCACCUUGCUCACAACCCUGAGGUGUGAGGUGGAAAAAUCCCUUUGCAACCAGGGAUGUGCCCCGUUCCAGCCUGCAGUGACUGGGCUGUGGCAGGGAACAGGUGCAGAUAGCCCAGCAGAUGGCUGGAAGUCCUUAAUCUGAGCAGUAAUGCUAACGUAGCCAUAUGGUAAAGAGCCGUAGGAGAGGCCAUUUUUCUAAUAGCAGGCAAUAGCCAGAGUUUAGCUGAGGAGAGAAAAAGGCAAGCUUUCCAAUGAUUAAGCCCUUUGACAUCUGCAGUGUAGGGGAAGAGCGGGGAGCUACUCUGGACCAUUCACAGGUUGACAGUUCAUCAGCUCCAUUACGGAGAGUAGCACUUUGUGUGCAGGAGCCUUGCCCUGCAUCUAAAGGAGGCAGUGUUUGUCCUGUAGAUGGCUGUCAAAAUAGGAUCUUGUUCUGUGCAGAUUGGGCAGGGAAGUGCUCAGCCCCUGGGUUGUGCAAGCUGGACAGGUGUCCCAGUAUCGUUGUGAGAGAGUUCUUGAGGGGAUCAUGGUCCUGAUGCUUCAGGAGUGGUGUCUCCUGAAUGAGACAUCUGCCAGACACAAGCAGAAAGUGAUAAAGGAGAAUCAAAGCCUUUUGGUGGUGGGCUGAGGACUGCCGAGGGCAGGGGCCCUUGGAGGGGAUGAAGUGUGAGGCGAUUCGUGUUGGCUUAGUCAGUGUCACUCUUAAACUGCCUGGAGUUUCCCUUUGUUCUUAAGACAAUAGAUACAAAUCUGAGCCUGUCUUCCUUCCUCAAAAGCUGUUUCCAAGGGCUUUCCUCUGGAAAAAUCUUCUGUUUCCCCUGGCUAAUCAUUCCUGGCCUGGGGCCUGGAGAUGUGAUGCAGCUUGUCCCUCCGGAGCAGCUCAGCCCAACCUGCCAGGCCUGCAGGUGUGCUUUGAGUGCAAACCCAAAGGCAAGAGCAUGAAGCACCAGCAAAUGGAGGAGGACAGUGCCUGGCUCUGCCACUGGGCACUGCCUGGACCUGACUGUUUGCACAUGCCUGUCUCCUGCCCAAGGGCAAAUGCAGAGGCAGCAGUAGUUCCUGUGCCCUGGGGCAGAGAUCAGGCAAAGCCAGCAUGUGGAGACACAACUCUCCAUUCUUCUGACUUGGAUGUGAUGGUUUUUGUUUUUGUAGUUGUGUGUGGUGCCAACUCGAUCUUUGUUCCUUAAUUGCUUCUAAGAAAUGAGUCUCAAAAAUACCCUUACCUGUGGUCUUAAAAUUCCUCUCUGUUAGUUGCCACUCCAGUUAUAUUCAUUUUCUGUUUUUUUGCCCUCCUUAAAUCCUCAGCAGAGAAGCUUAAGGUUUUGCAUUUGCAGCUGUGUCAUGUUAAUGAAAAGACAGCUUUAAAAUGGAUUAAAAGCAGGCAGAAGAUUGAAUGACCUCUGCACAGACACCAAUGGGAUGUAGAUUUCAGUCAGCGGGCCUGAUUUUGCUGAUGUGUGCCCUGUGGGAUUUGUAUUAUGGCAAUGUACCGUGCAUGCUACAAGCCCAUUGCAGCUCCUGCCUGGUGUGAUGCACUGGGGGGUGUUCAAAUCCAUCAGUAGAGCAGCACAGCACAUGCCCUUCUGAUUCACAGAAUGCUCCCAUGGCCUCUUCAGCAUCCUGGAAAGUGCAGCUGGGGCAAACACACUGGGCUGGCAGGUGGAUGAUGUGCAUCGUCCUGAGGGACGAGGAGGAGGAAGGUGCCUUUCUGGGCUUCCAGACAUGUGGUCUCAGAUCUCAGGCUGUAAGGAAAUAAACCUUCCCAGGAGGUGGGGUCUCAUGGGAAAAGUACUCUGUUCCACAAAGCUCCCUGGUCCAAGGAGAAUAGAGCCGAGGCUUUGGUACUAGCUACUGCACAAGAAACAGUUCCAUGCUGUCUCAGUGGAUUCUGUCACCCAGACAUUAAAAGCACAUCUGAAAAUAAGCUUUAACAUUUUUUUUUUUGUCUUUUUUUCUUUCUUGCCCUUGUAUCCACUGGGGAAAGCUUCCUGUUCCCAGCUAUCAGUUCAGCCAGUGCAGAACUAUCUGGGGAAUUAAUGAAUGCAGAGGGAGCAGCAGGAUUUAGAGGAGAUGCAGGUGGGUGGAGGAGGACUGCUGAGAUGAAUGUUUCCAGGGGAAAAACUAUGUAAAACUUUCUGCUUGCACAAGGGAAAACUCCAACUAGUUGCACAGUCACUGCGGUGGAGAUCACAGGAGAAGUGGGAGUGACCCAGGCUCAAACUGUGCAGUCAAAAGAAAGCUUGCUUGUGGUGGGGAGGGGGUCUUCAGAUCCUCCCAGCACCACAGUGUCUUCACAUAUGUUCCCUAUCAGCCCCAUGCAUGAGCAGUAGGUGGUCAGUAUGCUCUGCAUGCUUGCACUUGUUUUUCUUAGGUACCCAGCAGGCUAAUCUGAUUCAGAUACUCUGCUUUUCCACACUCCUGAGAACAGAGCAAAGGCACUUUAUGUGACAAUAAACUUCAGAGUUCUCCUGUAGAGCCUACCUUGUGACCGUUUUGUGCCAUGGUCUUCUCAGAGGCUCAUGGGUAAUAGUUGUUUGGGAGGCACAAUAAAAAACUUGGCAGCGCAUUACUGACUAAUUGCUGAAUUUAAACCACUGAAACAAAAGUUCAAAUUCAAAACUGUUGAAUUCUCAAAGGGCUGCAGGUGUUUUCCUCUGACAAACUGGUUUGUUUUUCCUUAAAAUUUAUGCUACUUGGCAGAAGUAGUGUGUAUAGAAUUAAAAUCUAGUGGGUCCGUAUCUCUUUUGCCCCGUUCCCUGUGCUCUAUUAGUGUGUCACCAUUUCAUUGUACUGCACCCUGUUUCCUGAGGUGGUAACCAAAGUCCUGAAGGGCAGAACAUCUUGCUGGAGUCAGAUAAGACCCUGCAGAAGCUGCACCUGCAUGUGCUUUAGACUCUUUCUGAGAAGUGGGUCUAAAGUAUGUUUCUGUUCCCCUCCUAUCUUUAACUUAAAAACAUCGAAAAUUUUAGGGAUUUUUUCUUGCGAUGUCAAUUUAAAAGGUAAGAUAACUUGUUCCACAUCUUUUGUUGACAGCUGUGAGAGGGCUUUCUUAUUCCUCAGAAGGGGGUUUGUAUCCUGCCCGCAUCUCUAAGGAGUGUGGCAGGAGAGCCAAGUGUGCUGUAGGACAUGGAGAAGCUAGAAAAUGUGGGUCAUCACACAAAGGCUACAAAUAGGCUGCGGGUGGGCUGAAAAACAGCAGGCUUCAUGUGCUCUUAUCCUAGCUGGGCUAUGAAGUAGAGGAGGAGAAAAUCAUCACUGGUCAUCUCUUCACAUUGCUGGAUAAAGGCCAAGAUGGUAUUUGCUGGGGGCAGCAGCUGGAGAGGAGAUGCGGAGAAGAAGUCUGGGAGAGUGCAGCUUGAAAUCAGAUUGCUGUGCUGCUCCCCCUCGCUCAGAGGAGCAAUGAACAUAAUCAGGUGCUUGUUAGUGGGAUUAUCUUCUCCGAGGUGUCAGAGCAGUUGAAACAGCUGAUUGGCUGGAGGAGUGGGUCCUCCUGCCUAAGGAUAGACUAAAACUACUGAUCUCCCCAAAGAAGCUGCCCUUCAGCAGAUGAGUGUUGAUGUGGGGCAAUACUGGCACUUUACAGCGUGGGGAAGGCUUGAGCCAAAUGAAGGCGAGUGCUUGUGUUGGGGCAUAGACAUCAGGGUGCAAGAGGACUGUGAUGGAAAAGCCUAAGGCUGGGGGCUGAGAAGAAUUCUAAACAGGAGCUUGUCCAAAAUAUCUGCUUUACUUUGCCAAAUUUGGGAUGAAAGUCUUAGUAAAACUAUUUUUUCUUAAACCAAGGAAUCCUUCUUUAAGGAACCGAAGCUCACAAAAUUAGAACAACAACAACAAAAAACACAACAAAGCCAAUACAACAGCAACAAACAUUAGUGGAAAAAAAUAAACCAUGCUUUUCCCCCCCCCCCAUCUUUUUAGUUCUGGGCAAUUUUUAUCAUUUCUAAGGCUGAUCUUAUCCAAACAAUUUGAGCACAGAUGGUGAGGCUGUUUGUUUUUUUUUUUUCCUAAACUCCCCACGAGUUU